rnacentral:rRNA from 1 species
GAUGAACGCUGGCGGCGUGCCUAAUACAUGCAAGUCGAGCGAACGGACGAGAAGCUUGCUUCUCUGAUGUUAGCGGCGGACGGGUGAGUAACACGUGGAUAACCUACCUAUAAGACUGGGAUAACUUCGGGAAACCGGAGCUAAUACCGGAUAAUAUUUUGAACCGCAUGGUUCAAAAGUGAAAGACGGUCUUGCUGUCACUUAUAGAUGGAUCCGCGCUGCAUUAGCUAGUUGGUAAGGUAACGGCUUACCAAGGCAACGAUGCAUAGCCGACCUGAGGGGGUGGCCGGCCCCCCUGGAACUGGGACACGGCCCAGACUCCUACGGGAGGCAGCAGUAGGGAAUCUUCCGCAAUGGGGGAAAGCCUGACGGAGCACGGCCGGGUGAGUGAUGAAGGUCUUCGGUUCGUAAAACUCUGUUAUUAGGGAAGAACAUAUGUGUAAUUAACUGUGCACAUCUUGACGGUACCUAAUCAGAAAGCCACGGCUAACUACGUG